CACUGCUCCUGACGCCUGCCGAGCCUGAUAACGAGGCGGAAACAAGCACUCUAAUCUAUGCUUAAGUGUUCCAGCAGGGGGCUUACAAGCACAAUGCGCAGCUGCAGGUUUCCUCUCCUAAUCUGAGGAUCUGGCCUCCCCUCGCACCCCUUGAAUCGGGGACGUUUUUCAAACUUGGCCCCAAGCUCACGUAUUCCUUUCUAUACCUUUCUAUACCUGAACUAUAGCCGGCAGUGGGCUAAACAGAAGCAAGCCCUUUCCUAAACCCACAGAAAAAAGCACUUUGCUCUGGGAGCAGCCCCACCCCUACGCUCGAAGGAUUAGAGGCUGGAACAGAAGGCAUCCCCUCCCUAGAUUAGCAUUAGGACCUAACCUCCUGAGAAUCUAGAAACCUCUAGUUACGGAUGGACCAGUUAGGACGUGGUGACGUCCACGCAAUCCCCACACCCCACCCCUUCUGCUCUCUGUUAGAAGCGCGAACAGCAAGCGGGUUUGGGUCAAGAGGUAACCCGGGCCUGGUUUGGAACAUGUGGUUCUCCUCUUCUUCAGCACCCGGCAUGCUGGGAUUACAAACAUGAGCCCUGUGUGGCUUUGUAUCUGCGUUGUUUGUUUGCUGGUUUGUUUUUAUGAGAGUUUUCUCCCCGCACUUCUUUCUUGCUAUUUUCAGUUGUUAGUUCCCUGAAAGCACAAUUCUCUCUUCUCUUUUUGUUCUGCCAACUCUGAUCCUAGACCCUCUGGGUGGCUACAGGGAACCAGGCAAAGGUGGUUUUGGUUGCCAGUGUUACCAAAACAAAACUCCACCCGGCUGCUCUGUGGCUACCUGACCUAUACCCUGUGUGACUCCACAUGGCCUUGACUUUCCCUGCUUGCCUAGCUGUUUCCCUCAGGUGAGGGAAGGGAUCUGCUUAAAUUGAUUCUAGUAAAUCCUAAACCUCUUUCAACUUUAAUUACCACCUUGAAGACCUUGUCUUCAGAUACAGCAAUAGUGGAAACUGAGGCUUCACAGUAGUAGAGAAAGCAUUAUCGGGAGAAAUCAUUUUGUCCCAACUAGGCCACCAUAGGCUGCCUGCUGUCUCUGAGGAGAGCACCUUAGGGAAGACUUAGGUUUCCUGACAGCGCUCCUACUAAGAGCUGGGGACCGAACCCAGGGCCUUGCGCUCGCUAGGCAAGCGCUCUACCGCUGAGCUAAAUCCCCAACCCCGCUGAGGAUACUUCUGAACCUUCAGUUCCUUCGCCAUCUGAGCCCAGGAUCUCUGGGCUCUGCUUCACUGGAGAACUGAGAAGCCAGGGAGCUUUCCGGUUGCUGCACGGGACACUGAAACAGGCAUGGGCAGCUGAUGAGAAGGUGGCAUUUUGGCCACUCCACCCCUCUUCACCUGCCUACCACCUACAGGCCCUGAGCCCUUGUGGCCCUUCUGAGUUAGGAAACAUGAUUAUGUGUACAGCAUUUCAGCCGCAUGGACCCAGUGUUCCCCCCUUCUCCUUAGGAGGAGCCCUACACCAAUGCCCCUCACCCCACCUAGGCACAGCACUUCGGAGGGUGUAUUUCAGCACCACCCAUUCCUGGGAUGGAUGAAGUGGACCAGAGACACAUAGCUCUCAGAGCCCAGCACUGGGCUAAGCUGGGGUGCAUCAAAGGCAUUCACCACCAUGCCCAGUCCAGCUAAGGAAGUUUAAAGGUUUUUUUCUUUUUUCGUUUGUUUUUCGAGAUAGGGUUUCUCUGUGUAGCUCUGGAUGUUCUGGGAUUCUUUAUUUCUGCAGAUAAACGUGGUUUCAGAGUCAUCGAAUGAAAGAAAAGUCAAAUUUGGUGCACCUUUCUGGGGGCUUCAACAUUCACUCUUGGCUUUCUCCCUGGACCAUAACUCACAGCUACUACGUUCUUAGGUGCUCUUGCUCUUGCCCUUGCUCCAGACUUUCAUACUGCCCUCUGACUCCUCCUGGGGGGCUCUGUCAAGUGUGUCGAGUCUCCUGACCUCUGUGUGUACUUCCUGCCAGGAUAAACUCUGGCAAACUACUUCGUAGACCAUGGCACCCAGGUACAUGCACUGGGAACACUGGAACAGCCUUGUCUGUGGGUCCCAGAAUUUAUGUGCUAUGCCUGUGACAAUGUAUGGCCUUUUGACCAAGCACUUCCUUCUGUGGCCUCCCACUGGCAGUUCACAAAUCAUGCCUGGUCAGUGUUCAUUUUUUACAUUCCUGGCAUGUUAGCCUCAUCACAUAUCUGGUGGUGUGAGCUCUCCCAGUCCACAGAUGGGACUUUAUAGCUAGUUUUGUUUGUUUUGUUGGGUUUUGUUCUUUAAUGAUUUUUUUUUCUUUGCAUUAUUCUUGUGUCUGUGUGAGGGUAUCCAGAUCCCCUGGAACUGGAGUUACAGACAGUUGUGAGCUGCCAUAUGGUUGCUGGGAAUUGAACUCAGGUCCUCUGGAAGAGCACCCAGUGUGCUUAACCAUCGAGCUGUCUCUCCUAUCCCCAUUGAAGAGUUUCUUUGCUGUACCCAUGGCUGUCCUGGAACUAGAUUUGUAGAUCAGGCUGACUUCAAACUCAGUACUAAGAUCUGCCCAGAUCAACUAAAGAAGUCACUCUCCCCAACCCUGACCCCGACAGGGUUUCUUUGAGUAGCCUGUCCUGGAACUCGCUGUGUAGACCAGGCUGGCCUUGAACUCAGAGAUUUACCUUCCUCUGCCUGCCUAGUGCUGAGAUUAAAGUCUUGCACCACCACUAUUCCAGUAGCUGAAGUUUUAAAGCUAUUCUUUCACUGAACCAACCCUGGGAAAUAAUUAUAGGUGAGUACACAGAUUCCAAAAAACAAGCUGGCUGUGGGCUUAUUGUGUGUGAAUAUCUUUAUUGUUGUCAUUUUGUUUUUUUAAGAAAUUAUUUCUCUAUGUAAUUCUGGCUGUCCUGGAACUUACUAUGUAGAUGAGUCUGGCCUAGAACUCACAGAGAUUCUCCUGCUUCUGUCUCCUGAGUGCAGGCAUUAAAAGAAUGUGCCACCACAUCAGACCUAUGUGUAAAGCUUUUUACCACAAUCUGCAAGGAUAAUUUAUUCAAUUUUAAAAAAGGUGUUGACAAACUGGUUUUCAUACUGAGAAAUAAAAACAAAGAUUAUCAGCCUUGCAGGUAAGAAAGAGCCGUGGAAGGAAAGGGGGUGUUGUGUUUAUCAGUUUGGAGUCUCUGGGAGCUCUCUAAGAUCCUAGCCGAUGGCCACCAUGGUGUCAACAGCCAGGAACACACUUAGCAACUUUUCCAGAGUAGAGAAUAAACAGAGGACCUGAGGCUGCCUUGACU